GACGAACGCUGGCGGCGUGCUUAACACAUGCAAGUCGAACGGUGAAAGGGACUUCGGUCCCUGGAUCAGUGGCGAACGGGUGAGUAACACGUGGGCAACCUGCCCCUAGCUCCGGAAUAA
rnacentral:rRNA from 1 species